rnacentral:rRNA from 1 species
GAUGAACGCUGGCGGCGUGCCUAAUACAUGCAAGUCGAGCGAACGGACGAGAAGCUUGCUUCUCUGAUGUUAGCGGCGGACGGGUGAGUAACACGUGGAUAACCUACCUAUAAGACUGGUAUAACUUCGGGAAACCGGAGCUAAUACCGGAUAAUAUUUUGAACCGCAUGGUUCAAAAGUGAAAGACGGUCUUGCUGUCACUUAUAGAUGGAUCUGCGCUGCAUUAGCUAGUUGGUAAGGUAACGGCUUACCAAGGCAACGAUGCAUAGCCGACCUGAGAGGGUGAUCGGCCACACGGGAGCUGAGACACGGUCCAGACUCCUACGGGAGGCAGCAGUAGGGAAUCUUCCGCAAUGGGCGAAAGCCUGACGGAGCAACGCCGCGUGAGUGAUGAAGGUCUUCGGAUCGUAAAACUCUGUUAUUAGGGAAGAACAUAUGUGUAAGUAACUGUACACAUCUUGACGGUACCUAAUCAGAAAGCCACGGCUAACUACGUG